GGUUUUAUAGUUUAUUUAAUAAUAUUAGAAUGCAAUUCUGAAGGAAUAAAAAUUUAUUUAUUAAAACUU
rnacentral:tRNA from 1 species